GCCCCGGUCGUAUAGCCCGGCCAAGUAUGCCGGCCUUUCGAGCCGGAGAACCCGGGUUCAAAUCCCGGCCGGGGCACCA
rnacentral:tRNA from 1 species